AUUGAACGCUGGCGGCAGGCCUAACACAUGCAAGUCGAGCGGAUGAAGGGAGCUUGCUCCUGGAUUCAGCGGCGGACGGGUGAGUAAUGCCUAGGAAUCUGCCUGGUAGUGGGGGAUAACGUCCGGAAACGGGCGCUAAUACCGCAUACGUCCUGAGGGAGAAAGUGGGGGAUCUUCGGACCUCACGCUAUCAGAUGAGCCUAGGUCGGAUUAGCUAGUUGGUGGGGUAAAGGCCUACCAAGGCGACGAUCCGUAACUGGUCUGAGAGGAUGAUCAGUCACACUGAACAUGAGACACGGCCCGCACUCCACCGGGAGGCGGCGGGGGGGAAUUUUGGACAUGGGGCAAAGGCCGGCUCCCGCCUUGCCGCGUGUGGAAAGAAGUUCUUGUAAUUUUAAAGUUCUUUAAUUUGGGAGGAAGGCAAAUAAUUUAAUCCCUUGUUUUUUUGACGUUCCCAACAAAAUAAGCCCCGGCUACCUUCGUC
rnacentral:rRNA from 1 species